CUGAUCUCAAAUCAGGUAGGACUACCCGCUGAACUUAAGC
rnacentral:rRNA from 2 species